rnacentral:lncRNA from 1 species
GGCGUGAGCUGUGGGUUUUAGGGUUUCAUCUCUAGGUUUUGUGAGAAAAAAAAUAUAAGAGUGAGUCUUAUCCAAUCUUCCACACCACCACCUCCUCAUAAAGCUUCAUCUUCUAAUCUGAAAGAGUCUGGGAGAUCUAAAGAAAGGAGCUUGGAUCAGCCAUCCAGAGCUUUUGAUGCAAGCUAGCACCCCUACGAUGA